CAGACGACUGAACAUAUGACUGCACCUAAUCGCAUUUGGGAAAUUGAACCAAUGGAAAUGAAGUUCAUUGGCUGACAGCUGUACAUAAUUAGCCAGCCAGGGUAGAAGGGUCUGGGAUUCCUUUAUGAGGUGCAACCAAAACAGCUGUUAGAAAUAGCAUCCGGGAUAUUCUGGCAGGCUGUCGAGAAUUAGUUCUUGAAUACUGUUGUGGUUUUGAUCACUAAAAUGGCUGUGACUUUUGGACUCUCUUUGAGUGUUUCUUGGAUUUGUUGCCUGCUAAUUGGAGGGAUAACUUGUUUUACACUUAAAGGUAACGCUCAUGGGCAUCCUGCCUACACUGGACCUGAACCAACUGGAUCCUAUGCCCAAGCAAGUGUGGUGUCUGGUCCAAAUGCUAAAGCUACUGGCCAAAAUGCCACGUCAGCAGAAGCUACUGGCCACAAUGCCACGUCAGCAGAAGCUACUGGCCACAAUGCCAUGUCAAGUGUAAAGUCCGGCCCCGGCGCCUCAGCAGAAGCAAC